GGGGGGCGGCGUGGGAGGUGGGUUGUUUGCACGCACAGAGGGCGGUGGGGCGACGCAGAGAACGGGGGGGCGGCUUGGGAGGUGGGUUGUUUGCGCGCACAGAGAAGGAGGAGGUCUGGACUAGGGAGUGUAGAGAGAGAACGGGUGAGAUAAGGAGAGGUGGGAAGACAUGAAGAGAGAGAGAGAGAGAGAGAGAGAGAGAGAGAGAGAGAGAGAGGAGAGGGCAACAAAUGGGA
rnacentral:lncRNA from 1 species